AUGGUCAUCAAGGAUACUCUGCUAUUUUCAGUAGUGAAAGAUGUGGGGUUUAAGGAGCUUUUAAAUGUUUUGGAUCCCACCUACAUUCUCCCUUCUAUGAAGGUCACUCCUACUGUAUCCUUAGUGUUUUCUUUCUCACACUCAACAACGGUUAUGGAGACUCUGUAUAUUUCGAUAUUUAUGGCCAUUUUAUCAUGUGUCCAGUCAGAUAUUGUCUUGACCCAAAAAAGCAGUGAAGUCAAAAAACCUGGAGAUUCUCUGCGACUGACCUGCCAUGGUUCAGGGCAGGACAGUAAUGGGUAUGCUGUCACUGAUUACGGCUUGAACUGGAUUAGACAAGAGCCAGGAAAAGGACUUGAAUGGCUGGCUUACAUUAACUCUGACAGCAGCAGUAUAGAGUACGCCAGCAGCAUUAAAGGAAGGUUUACAAUCUCCAGAGACAACUCUAAACAGGCUCUUUAUUUGGACAUGAACAGCCUCAAAACUGAAGACACAGCCAAAUAUUAUUGUGCUACAAGCACAGUGAAGAACUUCUCGUUAUUGCUUACAUAA